GAGUAAUGUCUGGGAAACUGCCUGAUGGAGGGGGAUAACUACUGGAAACGGUAGCUAAUACCGCAUAACGUCGCAAGACCAAAGAGGGGGACCUUCGGGCCUCUUGCCAUCGGAUGUGCCCAGAUGGGAUUAGCUUGUUGGUGGGGUAACGGCUCACCAAGGCGACGAUCCCUAGCUGGUCUGAGAGGAUGACCAGCCACACUGGAACUGAGACACGGUCCAGACUCCUACGGGAGGCAGCAGUGGGGAAUAUUGCACAAUGGGCGCAAGCCUGAUGCAGCCAUGCCGCGUGUAUGAAGAAGGCCUUCGGGUU
rnacentral:rRNA from 1 species